rnacentral:rRNA from 1 species
GAUGAACCGUGCGAACGUUGUUCGGAAUCACUGGGCUUAAAGGGCGCGUAGGCGGACCGCCAAGUCCGUGGUGAAAUCCUCCAGCUUAACUGGAGAACUGCCGCGGAUACUGGAGGUCUCGAGGGGAGGUAGGGGCAAGCGGAACUGUGGGUGGAGCGGGUGAAAUGCGUUGAUAUCCACAGGAACUCCGGUGGCGAAGGCGGCUUGCUGGACCUUUUCUGACGCUGAGGCGCGAAAGCCAGGGGGAGC